UUGAAAUAUUUAUAAUAUUUUAAUUAUAAUUGAUCAUAAAAAGGCAUAGAGUAACCAAAUAUUUCCUCUAAUUUGGAAGAUGGUGAACGAUAAAUAGUGAUGAAUAAAAUUAGUUUUAAUUUAUUAAAUUUGAUACAAGCAUUCUCAAAUACUCAAAUUCAUUCGCCAAAAUAUCAAAAUCAGUAGUUUCUAAUUUUGCACAUCUAAACCAACCUCAUCUUCCAGCUCUAUCUCUCCUGACAACAAACUUGUAGCCUAUUCCAAAAGAAUUAUCGUCGUCGUUCGAUGUUAACCAUAUUUCUGACAGCAGAACUUAAUUUCCCAAUAUUGUAACUCCAUAAAAAAAAAUACUGCAGAUGAUACAUAAUAAGAACACACAUUCGAUAUUUUAGCAAGCGGUCAAUCUCUUAUUUUUAAAUGUACAGUUGAAUACAAUAUUUUAUCAACAAAUAUUUUAAUUUUUUUAACCAUAAAAAACCAUAAAUAAUAAAUUUCCAUGAAUUAUUUUAAUACAAAUACCCACAUUAAUAUAAAAACAUUGAUCUAUAUUGUUGUAUUGCAAUCUUGUCAAAUAAAAAGCAACGUCUUUCUACACAUUAUGUAAAAAUUUAAGCAAAUAAUUAAUCCUAUAAAAACAAGAAGUUGAUUUCUUUAAGUAAAACAUCCAUAACUAAAAAUGACUCCACUAUUACAGUUUUUUAAUGGGUUAACUUACAUUAUAUACAGUAGACACUCGAUAGUGUGAAUAUCGAAAAAGUAUGGUGUGGUAAAAUCUACAAUUUGCAAAAUAAAAAAGAAAAAGGAACUGAUUUCUAGUGCUGUUAGAAACACGUAUAUUGGACCAGGUAAAAGACAAACCCUAAAGGGUUCCCAGUUUCCAAGAAUGGAAAAAAGACUGUACAAGUGGUUUCUGGACCAACGGAAUAAACAUUUAAUGGUAAGUGGCGACAUGAUUAAAGAAAAAGCAAAAUUCAUUUAUUCACAGCUCAAUGAAAGGGAUAAAUCAUUUACCGCUAGUGAAGGAUGGUUACAAAGAUUCAAAAAAAGAUUUGGAAUUCGUUUUUUAAAAAUUUCUGGGGAAAAACUGUAAUCUCAACCAGAGCUUGUAGACCCAUUUAAAAUGGCUCUAAAAAAUAAAAUAGCAUAGCUUGGAAUCUCAUUGGAUCGCAAGUUUACAAUGCUGAUGAGACAGGACUUUACUGGAAAUUAUUACCAGAAAAAACAUUUGCCUUGUCAACAGAAAAAACAGCUCCUGGAAGAAAAUUGGAAAAACAAAGAAUAACAUUUUUGGCUUGCACUAAUGCUACUGGGCUCCAUAAAAUUAAACCAUGUCCUGUUGACUAUGAACAUUCUAAAUCAGCUUGGAUGACUGCCACAAUUUUUAAAAAAUGGUUUCAUUAUUCGUUUGUACCACAGGUUAAGAGGUUCUUAAAAGGUCUGCUAUUGAAAGCUGUACUUCUUCUGGAUACACCAUCGCAUCCAACCGAAGAAGAAUUAAAAAGUGAAGAUGGACAAAUUAUAACCAUGUACCUGCCAUCUAAUGUCACCCCACUAAUACAACCUAUGGAUCAAAAUGUUAUUAGGCUAACAAAAUUGUACUACAGAAAAGGUCUUCUAUCAUCCAUAGUGGCCAACAACACGAAUGUCAUUGAUGCGCUAAAAAAACCUGACAAUAAAAGAUGCAGUGAUCAAUUUAAUGUCUCUUUGGAAUCAUCUUGAUUCUCAAGUUAACAAAAAAUGUUGGAAAAAUAUUUUAAAUGUGGUGCCCUCUACACAUGAUGUAGACAGUAAUGAUGAAAAUGUACCUCUUUCUCUCCUAAAACACCAAUGAGACAGCACUGCUCAGAAACCCAUAUCUGAAUCUCUUGGUCUUUUACAUACAUUGACACCUCAGGGAACUUUUGAAGAUUCUGACAUUGUAGAGUGGAAUCAGUGUGACAAUAAUUUUGCAGAUGACGACAUUGAAGAAUGUCAAUCGGAUGAAGCAGAAGUAUUAAAUGAGGUUGAGCAGGAACCCUCAAAUAAAAUUUCAUUAGAUAGGGCAAUUAAUGCCUUUCAUAUAGCGAUUCUGUGGGCAGCAGAGGAAAAUGAAAUUGACAUAAAUGACCUUGUAGUCUUAAAAAAAUUAAGAGAGAAAGCUGUGAUGUUAAAAGUAAAACAACCUA
rnacentral:lncRNA from 1 species